UGGGAAACUUUUGGCGUCAGAACACAGACGCGAAGGACAUGAGAUGAUCGCUAUGAAAUCACGUUCAGGAAGUCUCAUUCAGCACACAUCGCGAUAUUUGCCAUCAGUUUAGGUGUGCUGCAGGUUGGCUGAGGAGACCUAAAGGAAGCCGUCAGUCCAGUCUUGUUUGUGGAGAGGUCUUCAUUUAGAAACAGAGAAGACAGAAAGCUGCGGAGGGAGACAUUUGCAGUGGUCUCUACAAUAUCUAAACAACAGCUCCAUUAUGAACCCUCACAAACCUUCCUAAAAACUAAAAGAGCUGUUACUGAGUCUCAGUGAGUCUUGCCAUGAUCAGCUCUUCCCAGAAGAGAAGGAAGACCAAGGAAGUCCUUUGUUCAGGGUGAGGAAUGAAUAUGGC